rnacentral:rRNA from 1 species
GGUUCCUAGCGAGCCCAACCUCCCACCCGUGUUUACUGUACCUUAGUUGCUUCGGCGGGCCCGCCAUUCAUGGCCGCCGGGGGCUCUCAGCCCCGGGCCCGCGCCCGCCGGAGACACCACGAACUCUGUCUGAUCUAGUGAAGUCUGAGUUGAUUGUAUCGCAAUCAGUUAAAACUUUCAACAAUGGAUCUCUUGGUUCCGGCAUCGAUGAAGAACGCAGCGAAAUGCGAUAACUAGUGUGAAUUGCAGAAUUCCGUGAAUCAUCGAGUCUUUGAACGCACAUUGCGCCCCCUGGUAUUCCGGGGGGCAUGCCUGUCCGAGCGUCAUUGCUGCCCAUCAAGCACGGCUUGUGUGUUGGGUCGUCGUCCCCUCUCCGGGGGGGACGGGCCCCAAAGGCAGCGGCGGCACCGCGUCCGAUCCUCGAGCGUAUGGGGCUUUGUCACCCGCUCUGUAGGCCCGGCCGGCGCUUGCCGAACGCAAAUCAAUCUUUUCCAGGUUGACCUCGGAUCAGGUAGGGAUACCCGCUGAACUUAAGCAUAUCAAUAGCCCGGAGGAAAGAUC